GACGAACCGAGCGAACGUUGUUCGGAAUCACUGGGCUUAAAGGGCGCGUAGGCGGGUGCUCAAGUCCGUGGUGAAAUCCUCCGGCUCAACCGGAGAACUGCCUCGGAUACUGGGUGCCUCGAGGGUGGUAGGGGUAUGCGGAACUAUCGGUGGAGCGGUGAAAUGCGUUGAUAUCGAUAGGAACUCCGGUGGCGAAGGCGGCAUACUGGACCACCUCUGACGCUGAGGCGCGAAAGCGUGGGAGCAAACAGG
rnacentral:rRNA from 1 species